rnacentral:lncRNA from 1 species
GUUUUCUUAGUUUUUCUUUCAACAAAUACAAAUAUUGAGACUCCACAAAAGAAUUGUUAAAGACCUACAUUAGGAAAAUAAAAAUAAAAACUUGACAACCAUCAAUCCAAGCAUAUGAGUUGGCGUUCAAUUGUCCAUGACUUGCGGCCUUAAAGAUGCUAUGCAACUUUCAAUCACUAUGAUUAUCAAGCUAAAGAUGACUCUCAAAUCACUUUUGUGCAAGUUUCUAGCAGAGAUAGAGCUGUUUGUAGCAGAGAUAUGAAUGCUUAGUAACCCAACAACCAAAAAAAAAUUAAAAAUUAAAAAAAUUAAAACCCUGAUCGACCACCAUAGAAUGACGGUCAAUCAAUCCCGAUGGUCGACCGCUACCAUUGACUGGGCUCGAUUGUUGGGCUUAGUCUAAGGUUGAGGCGGUUGACCGCCUCAUCCAUAUCAUGCCACAGUGGUCAAUUGGUCCACUAAGGCAGUCGAUCGCCUCAGACUGAGAUGGGUGAUCGAGCUCGAUUUAUCCAAUUAGUCGACAGUCUUUCUAUUCCACUCUUGGUGGUCGAUCAGUCCACUAAGCCGGUCGACCGCUUGAGAUCGAGUUGGGCAGUCAAGCUCGAUCAAUUCGAUCGAUUAACCAUGACAUGGUGUUGAUCGACCGUGAUUUUUUUUUUAAUGUUGGAUUUUCAAUCUGCAUCCUUUAAUCUACAUCUCCUUUUCUCAAUACAUGCCCCUACCGACUUGAUUGAGACUAUUCUUACACAUUUGAUGAUUUUUAUGAAUUCAUUUGAAAUUUGAUCAUUUGCCUAUGAAUUUCUUAUGCAUGAAUGUUAAAAAUAUUGGAUCAAGCUAGAAAAAUUGAGAUCAACGGUCGAUCGGUUACCUUGAUAUAGUCGAUGGCAUAAAAUCGAGACCAAUGGCCAAGUCCGGUUGAUACGGGCAGUCGACCGGCCCUUAAGGGAAAAGAAAAAUGUGGCAGGGUUCUAGUAGAGUGAAAGAGAGCAAGACAAAGGUUCAUUAUGAUAAAUUUUAUGGUACACCAUAUCGGA